CCAGACUCCUACGGGAGGCAGCAGUGGGGGAUAUUGCACAAUGGGGGAAACCCUGAUGCAGCGACGCCGCGUGGGUGAAGAAGCGCCUCGGCGCGUAAAGCCCUGUCAGCAGGGAAGAAAAUGACGGUACCUGAAGAAGAAGCCCCGGCUAACUACGUGCCAGCAGCCGCGGUAAUACGGAGGAUGCGAGCGUUUUCCGGAUUUAUUGGGUUUAAAGGGUGCGUAGGCGGAAUGCCAAGUCAGCGGGAAAAUGGGGGGGCUCAACCCCGCGCCGCCGUUGAAACUGGCGUUCUUGAGUGGGCGAGAAGUAUGCGGAAUGCGUGGUGUAGCGGUGAAAUGCAUAGAUAUCACGCAGAACUCCGAUUGCGAAGGCAGCAUACCGGGGCCCAACUGACGCUGAAGCACGAAAGCGUGGGUAUCGAACAGGAUUAGAUACCCCAGUACC
rnacentral:rRNA from 1 species